CUCCUCUGACGGUGAACCUGAUCGGAGGCUGACAGAGGUGCUGGCUGGUUGUAGGUUUCCUUUUCCCGAGCCUAGACUUGAUCUUCUGUCACGUCUCUGGAGAUCGACAAGGAUUUGGAUGCGAGUAUAAGUAGAACAUGGGUGGCUGCAGUAUGGUGGGAGAUUUUUUGGAUAAACUUGAGGAUAGGG